GACGAACGCUGGCGGCGUGCUUAACACAUGCAAGUCGAACGGAAAGGCCCUGCUUUUGUGGGGUGCUCGAGUGGCGAACGGGUGAGUAACACGUGAGUAACCUGCCCUUGACUUUGGGAUAACUUCAGGAAACUGGGGCUAAUACCGGAUAGGAGCUCCUGCUGCAUGGUGGGGGUUGGAAAGUUUCGGCGGUUGGGGAUGGACUCGCGGCUUAUCAGCUUGUUGGUGGGGUAGUGGCUUACCAAGGCUUUGACGGGUAGCCGGCCUGAGAGGGUGACCGGCCACAUUGGGACUGAGAUACGGCCCGGCCUCCUACGGGAGGCAGCAGUGGGGAAUAUUGCACGAUGGGCGGAAGCCUGAUGCAGCAACGCCGCGUGCGGGAUGACGGCCUUCGGGUUGUAAACCGCUUUCGCCUGUGACGAAGCGUGAGUGACGGUAAUGGGUAAAGAAGCACCGGCUAACUACGUG
rnacentral:rRNA from 1 species